CCUGAGAAACGGCUACCACAUCCAAGGAAGGCAGCAGGCGCGCAAAUUACCCACUCCCGGCACGGGGAGGUAGUGACGAAAAAUAACGAUACGGGACUCAUCCGAGGCCCCGUAAUCGGAAUGAGUACACUUUAAAUCCUUUCACGAUUAACAAUUGGAGGGCAAGCCUGGUGCCAGCAGCCGCGGUAAUUCCAGCUCCAAUAGCGUAUAUUAAAGUUGUUGCGGUUAAAAAGCUCGUAGUUGAAUCUGUGUCCCACACUGUCGGUUCACCGCUCGCGGUGUCCAACUGGCAUGUCUGUGGGACGUCCUGCCGGUGGGCGCAGCCCGUCAAAAGGCGGCCCAACUUAAAAUCCUACCACGGUGCUCUUCACCGAGUGUCGAGGUGGGCCGGUACGUUUACUUUGAACAAAUUAGAGUGCUUAAAGCAGGCUCAUUCGCCUGAAUAUUCUGUGCAUGGAAUAAUGGAAUAGGACCUCGGUUCUAUUUUGUUGGUUUUCGGAACGCCGAGGUAAUGAUUAAUAGGGACAACUGGGGGCAUUCGUAUUGCGACGUUAGAGGUGAAAUUCUUGGAUCGUCGCAAGACGGACAGAAGCGAAAGCAUUUGCCAAAUGUGUUUUCAUCAAUCAAGAACGAAAGUUAGAGGUUCGAAGGCGAUCAGAUACCGCCCUAGUUCUAACCAUAAACGAUGCCAGCUAGCGAUCCGCCGAAGUUCCUCCGAUGACUCGGCGGGCAGCUUCCGGGAAACCAAAGCUUUUGGGUUCCGGGGGAAGUAUGGUUGCAAAGCUGAAACUUAAAGGAAUUGACGGAAGGGCACCACCAGGAGUGGAGCCUGCGGCUUAAUUUGACUCAACACGGGAAACCUCACCAGGCCCGGACACCGGAAGGAUUGACAGAUUGAGAGCUCUUUCUUGAUUCGGUGGGAGGUGGUGCAUGGCCGUUCUUAGUUGGUGGAGCGAUUUGUCUGGUUAAUUCCGAUAACGAUCGAGACUCUAGCCUGCUAAAUAGGCGUACUUUCCGGUAUCUCGAAGGCCCGCCGGCUCGGCUUCGGCCUUGUCGUGUGUGGUUUUUACUACCGGCGUACACAUAUAUCUUCUUAGAGGGACAGGUGACAUUUAGUCGCACGAGAUUGAGCAAUAACAGGUCUGUGAUGC
rnacentral:rRNA from 1 species